UACGAAGGGGGCUAGCGUUGCUCGGAAUCACUGGGCGUAAAGGGUGCGUAGGCGGGUCUUUAAGUCAGGGGUGAAAUCCUGGAGCUCAACUCCAGAACUGCCUUUGAUACUGAAGAUCUUGAGUUCGGGAGAGGUGAGUGGAACUGCGAGUGUAGAGGUGAAAUUCGUAGAUAUUCGCAAGAACACCAGUGGCGAAGGCGGACUCACUGGCCCGAUACUGACGCUGAGGCACGAAAGCGUGGGA
rnacentral:rRNA from 1 species